rnacentral:rRNA from 1 species
AAACUGAAGAGUUUGAUCCUGGCUCAGAGUGAACGCUGGCGGCGUGCUUAACACAUGCAAGUCGAACGAGAACGGUCCUAGCUUGCUAGGAUGUCAGCUAAGUGGCGGACGGGUGAGUAAUGUAUAGUUAAUCUGCCCUU